rnacentral:rRNA from 1 species
UACGUAGGGGGCAAGCGUUGUCCGGAUUUAUUGGGCGUAAAGAGCGUGUAGGCGGCCAGGUAGGUCAGCUGUGAAAACUCGAGGCUCAACCUCGAGACGUCGGUUGAAACCACCUGGCUAGAGUCCGGAAGAGGAGAGUGGAAUUCCUGGUGUAGCGGUGAAAUGCGUAGAUAUCGUGGAGAACACCCGUGGCGAAGGCGGGUUUCUGGCUGACAACUGACGCUGAGGUGCGAAAGCUAGGGGAGCGAACGGG